GGUUCCGUGGUCUAGUUGGUUACGACGUCUGCUUCACAAGCGAUAUGAGAUCGCAGAAGGUCCUGGGUUCGAGCCCCAGCGGAGCCA
rnacentral:tRNA from 1 species